rnacentral:lncRNA from 1 species
UACUUUAUAAUUUAAAAUAGGCUAAAUUACAGAAAAUCCUCCUGUAAUAAUCUACUUUUUUAUUUUCCUCUCUGACAUUUAAAAACCUAUACUUUGCCCCCCUGUAAAAUAAAAAAUAUUCACAGGGGGGUUACGGUGUGUAAAAUGACCAUUUUGUCCCUCGCCAUUGUCGUCUUCUUUUCCAUCUUCCUCCCUCGCCGUCCUCGAUUUCGGCGACAGUGGGAGAAAACCGAGGUGGGCGACAGUAGGAGAAGGGCAAAGAAGGCGAAGGCGAGGCGGCGGAGGACGGCGAAGGGGAUGUGGGUGAGGGCGAGGCAGUGGAGGACGGCGAGGCGGCUAAGCAGCGAGGCGGCGGCGAGGUGGCGAGCCGGAGGGAGUCGAAGCAACAGGGAGAUGGCGGAGGGGCAUUUUCGGCAUAAAAAUAUAUUUUUUAACGGAACCCUAACGGAACCCUAACGGUAGGGAGUGAAGUGCACAUUUUUUAUUUUACAGGGAGGCAAAGUGUAGGUUUUUAAAUGUCAGGGAGGGAAAGUGAAAAAGCGGGUUAUUAAAAGAAGGUUUUCUAUAAUUUAGCCUUUACAGUAUAUUAUUUUUAUAUCAUGUGAUUUUAUUUUAUUUUUUUUAUUAUUCACUCCGUUAAAUUUUUUGUUAAAUUAGUGGCAAAGCUAAAACUAUAGAAAUACUAUAGUGAAAAUUCAGUAAAUUACAAAAAAUUAAAAUAAAUAUUUCAUAAAUUAUAGAUGAAGUAUCUGAAAUUUUUUAUAUAUAAUUUAACGAAGAGUUAACAUUUAUGAAAGAAAAAAAGUAAUACUAAAAAAUAUUAAAAUAAAAAAAUGCGAAACUAUAAAGGUGGUAUUUAAAGUUUACAUUU